CUGUGGAGAUGUUGAUACGGUAUACAAUUGACGACGGUUGAAUGGCCUUAGAUAAUGUAGUGAUAGUGUUCAGAACUCUGGAAGUGCCCGUCAAUAGUUAUAAACGAUUUUGUUUACGUUAAAUCAUUCAACAUAAGCAUUUGCAUGUCAAUUGCUGCUAGUCAAAAACCGAAGUAAAUAUCUGAUGUGUAUAUAUAUGAGAAGAUGUUUACAUUUGGGACUUAGCUCUGCUGACGGAGAGGAAUACAUUAAGAUUAUCAAAAUUAUCAUGAAAUGGACUGAUAACAAAAUAUUUUAAGUGCGCAACGUUACCGAGAAACAGAUAUUGAGAUUUAUUUUGUUUGAUCUUCUAAUUCGUUUUAAAAUAUUUAGCUUAUUAAAAUCAUAUCAUUGAGAUAGAGUUUUUGAACGCUUAUGCUAUUUAUUUUAUGUGCUCGAAAUAAUUCAAUAUCCAAAUUAAUUAUUUAAAUGCAACAAAAGUAUAUGGUUGUUAUUUAAGAUCUAAUUGAUGUAAUAUUGCUUCUCCUGUGACACUUAUUUUUUUGUCUUUAAAGGCAUAGAGUUCAUACUAGUAAGAAAAUUGCGUUAUUAAUUGCUUAAUGACAUAAAAAAAAGAAAAUUGUAAAAAAAGUAACAAACGAUUAUUGGGAAUGUAUAAAAAAUAUAUCAACUUCUUGGGAGACAUUUUUAUUAUUGAAUAAUGUAACAAGAAGUAUAAUGUAAUGAUUUAUUAGUAAUGCUAUUUACAAUACAAUAAAGGCGAAUAUGCAUAUACUGAUUUAAUUUUGAUUACUGAUGAUGAUUUAUAAAUUAACGGUUUUAAUUUUGAUACUUGACACGUGUAAACAAACAACGCAAUAAUAAUAAAAAAUAAUUAAGAAACUUUAAGAUGUUUCCGACACCAGUUCUGAGAAACGCUUUGUCCCUCCUACAAAAUCAACAGCUGUGGACGAAUAGUAAACAUAUAACUUACGCCUUUCUAUUGCACUCUAGAUUGUUGGCCUCUCUGAUAAAAAAAUUCAAACAAAGAUCUUUCAUUACACCACGUAAGUAAUUAAUAUAACAAACGUUUUCAAAAGACUGAUAAAACAUUUUGUUUUUAUAUUUCUGUGAAACGAUAUUAUAAGUGUAACUGUUUAAGCUCUCUCGUUUUAUUAUGUCUAGUAAUUAUUUAAAAGACUUAUAAAAAUACGUUUUCUCUAAUUAAUUAAAAUAAUAUUAUUUUGAA